rnacentral:misc_RNA from 1 species
UUAUCAUCAAUGUAAUGUUGACUUUAUGUCUAAUUCAGUGUGAACUUUGGAGCACAGUUCAAUACAAACUUUUUAAUCCCCUAUUAAAAUAGCAUUAUGAAAUCAAAAACAAACUUUCUCGUGAACUCAUGUUAUUAUUCUACAUCAGAAAAUUACUUUUGGAACACUUAAAGACAAGUUUAGGCUUGGGGAAAAGUAAGAAACAUGAUGAUGAACUUGUGCCCACAAGACCAGACUCAGACCCAUGAAAUUUAGCCCAGCCAAACCAAGAACUAGUUAAAUGGCUGAGCAUAUCAACCAUGGCAGGCCAUUGCUGCUUUUUAAAGACAAUAACAUCAUUGAGCUUGUACCCAUCAAGCUUUUGGUGUAACCUGAUCAGAUUCUGGCAUAAGACGUUCUUGUUCCCAUCCAUCCUCCAAAUUAUCUGAUGAUUUCUUCAAUUGUUGAGGUCUCUUAUAAUAUAUUGCAUAAAGAAUCAACUGGGCUGUCCCAAGAACAAAUCCAGUACCAUUUGGUAGCUACAAGAGAGAUCCAUUAAAUCUUCAAAUUGUCAAUAGCAGUGUCACAUAUAUAUACUAGCAAUCUUGUUCUUUUUCACUUGUAAAUGUAAAAGAGAAGAUGAUUUUGAAGAGAACUUACUCCAAUAAACCAAUCACUAGUAAUCACAGCAUAUAUAGUCCAAACUCCUCCAUUUAUGAAAAGGAAAAAUGAGAGAAGGAAUGGCAUGUAUUCAACACUCUUGGUUGUCACAACUGUUUUCUGUAAAUUUCAAGAAUUGGUAUUAAGUGUAACAGCACUGGCAUGUCCCAUGGGCCCAAGAUCAUUGGAGAUAAUAGAUCAUUUUCGGGUCUUAGAGAGAGUUUAAAGGCUUUUAGCAGCUGGGGCUUAACUCCACUAAACUAAAUGGUCUAAGUUUUGAGAGAGAGAAUAAAUUACCAUAGCUGAAAGAGGGGAACCAUAUGCAGCCAUGCUAAAGCAAACACAAAAGAAUCCAGCAACAUCUAUCUGUCCUUUUCUUUUUAAAAACAACUGCGUAAUCAGGACUGUUCCAGCUGGAAACACCACAUCCAGAACCCCAAAUAGAAUAGCUGUCUUAACCUAAUAUAAACAUAAACACAAACAUGAUUAAAGGUUUAAUUAACUUAAUUAAUUACCUACUUAAUUGCUCCUUUUAGAAAAAGAACAGAAAGGAAAUUCACCCUCAUUCUUGGGGGUGCAAAAAUCAGAAACAAGGAGACGAAAAUGAGCUCUAAAACAGCACCAAAACCGUUAACCGUGGCGACGAGGACGCUAUUAGGCUUGAGGAUGCCAUAGUAGACCCAGAAGUAGGCAUUUAUUAACUUCCAAACGUAAGGAUCGCUUUCAAAUUCCUCAGUUGAUCUAUUCACCACAAUUCUCCAAAAGGUCUUUCUGAGACCAAACUUGAAAUCUUUUUUCUGUCAGUUCCUUGAUAUAAACAAAGAGAAACAAAGUAAUGGGAUAUUACCUGCGGGGAGCAAAGUAGACUUACAUGGGAGCAAGGUAGACUAGCCCUGUGGUGAUGUUGCCUAAUAGCCCAAGAAAGAUAAUUAAGCCCUCCAUGGAGGAAGAAACUGAGCUCGCCAUGGAGAAGAAUGAUGGCUUCCAAUAGAUAGGCAAAGAAAGAGUGGAUUUAGGAGAGGCUCUCUAUAAUUGGUUUCAG